ensembl:lncRNA
CAGGAGAGGGGCAUCCAUAACAUUCUCCAGACCUGCCCACAGUGAAAGGGAAGAGAUUCUACUUGGAACGUACACAAAGAGGUGGAAUCUUGGGGACCACCCAGAACUCUGCCUACCACACUACCAAUACCACUUUUCAACAGGCACUGUACUCAGGUUCAUGUUUGAUAUUCUACUGCUAAUCCACACAGCAAUGUGACAAUCUCCCUGGGUUCUCUGCAGCUCUUUAAAUGGAUGCCAGCUCACUACUCAAUAAGCUACUGAUUUCAACAAACUGUGGUAAAUUCUUAAAGAGAUGGGAGUACCAAACCACCUGACCUGUCUCCUGAGAAACCUGUAUGCAGGUCAAGAAGCAACAGUUAGAACUGGACAUAGAAUGAC